rnacentral:rRNA from 1 species
CGUGGGUAACCUGCCCAAGAGAUCGGGAUAACACCUGGAAACAGAUGCUAAUACCGGAUAACAACAGAUGAUGCCUAUCAACUGUUUAAAAGAUGGUUCUGCUAUCACUCUUGGAUGGACCUGCGGUGUAUUAGCUAGUUGGUAGGGUAACGGCCUACCAAGGCGAUGAUGCAUAGCCGAGUUGAGAGACUGAUCGGCCACAUUGGGACUGAGACACGGCCCAAACUCCUACGGGAGGCAGCAGCC